rnacentral:rRNA from 1 species
CUAACGGGUGAGUAAUGCGUGACCAACCUGCCCCAUGCUCCAGAAUAGCUCUUGGAAACGGGUGGUAAUGCUGGAUGCUCCAACUUGACGCAUGUCUUGUUGGGAAAGUGUUUAGUGGCAUGGGAUGGGGUCGCGUCCUAUCAGCUUGUAGGCGGGGUAAUGGCCCACCUAGGCUUCGACGGGUAGCCGGCCUGAGAGGGCGGACGGCCACAUUGGGACUGAGAUACGGCCCAGACUCCUACGGGAGGCAGCAGCC